AAAAAAUGUCAUAGUAUAGUAUGGCGUCAAAAACAGUCAAAAAAUGUCAUAGUAUAGUAUGGCGUCAAAAAACAUGAAAAAAGGUCAUAGUAUAGUAUGGUGUCAAAAAACAUGAAAAAAUGUCAUAGUAUAGUAUGGCGUCAAAAACGGUCAAAAAAUGUCAUAGUAUAGUAUGCCAUCAAAAAAUGUCACAGUAUAGUAUGGCGUCAAAAAACAUGAAAAAAUGUCAUAGUAUAGCAUGGCGUCAAAAAACAUGAAAAAAUGUCAUAGUAUAGUAUGGCGUCAAAAACGGUCAAAAAAUGUCAUAGUAUAGUAUGGCGUCAAAAACGGUCAAAAAAUGUCAUAGUAUAGUAUGGCGUCAAAAAACAUGAAAAAAUGUCAUAGUAUAGUAUGGCGUCAAAAAACAUGAAAAAAUGUCAUAGUAUAGUAUGGGGUCAAAAAACAUGAAAAAAUGUCAUAGUAUAGUAUGGCGUCAAAAAACAUGAAAAAAUGUCAUAGUAUAGUAUGGCGUCAAAAAACAUGAAAAAAUGUCAUAGUAUAGUAUGGCGUGAAAAACGGUCAAAAAAUGUCAUAGUAUAGUAUGGGGUCAAAAAACUUGAAAAAAUGUCAUAGUAUAGUAUGGGGUCAAAAAAUGUCAUAAUAUAGUAUGGCGUCAAAAACGGUCAAAAAAUGUCAUAGUAUAGUAUGGCGUCAAAAACGGUCAAAAAAUGUCAUAGUA